rnacentral:rRNA from 1 species
UCAAGUCAUCAUGGCCCUUACGAGUAGGGCUACACACGUGCUACAAUGGCAUAUACAAAGAGAAGCGACCUCGCGAGAGCAAGCGGACCUCAUAAAGUAUGUCGUAGUCCGGAUUGGAGUCUGCAACUCGACUCCAUGAAGUCGGAAUCGCUAGUAAUCGUAGAUCAGAAUGCUACGGUGAAUACGUUCCCGGGCCUUGUACACACCGCCCGUCACACCAUGGGAGUGGGUUGCAAAAGAAGUAGGUAGCUUAACCUUCGGGAGGGCGCUUACCACUUUGUGAUUCAUGACUGGGGUGAAGUCGUAACAAGGUAACCGUAGGGGAACCUGCGGUUGGAUCACCUCCUUA